rnacentral:rRNA from 1 species
GAUGAACUGUGGGUAGCGGAGAAAUUCCAAUCGAACCCGGAGAUAGCUGGUUCUCUCCGAAAUAGCUUUAGGGCUAGCCUUGAAAUAGAUUACCGGAGGUAAAGCACUGAAUUGGCUAGGGGCCGAGAGGUUACUGAACCUUAUCAAACUAAGAAUGCCGGAUAAUCGUUUUUCAGGAGUCAGACAGUGGGAGAUAAGUUUCAUUGUCAAAAGGGAAACAGCCCAGACCCACAGCUAAGGUCCCCAAGUAUAGUUAAGUGGAAAAGGAUGUGGAAUUGCACAGACAACCAGGAUGUUGGCUUAGAAGCAGCCACUCAUUAAAAGAGUGCGUAAUAGCUCACUGGUCGAGUGACUCUGCGCCGAAAAUUUAACGGGGCUAAACUAUACACCGAAGCUUGGGAUACAUCUAAUGUAUGGUAGGAGAGCGUUCUGUAUGGGGAGAAGUCGUAGCGAAAGCGGCGGUGGACUAUACAGAAGUGAGAAUGCCGGAAUAAGUAGCGAGAAUUAAGUGAGAAUCUUAAUGGCCGAAAGUCUAAGGUUUUUGGAGGAAGGUUCGUCCGCUCCAAGUAAGUCGGGAGCUAAGGUCAGGCCGAAAGGCGUAGCCGAUGCACAUACGGUUGAUAUUCCGUAACCAUCUGUAAUUUAAGCAAAGGGACACUUCAAAAGGGUGUGACCCGGGCGUUGGUUGACCCGGGCGUAAGGGACCGAAAUUAGAGUAGGGAAGCACACUUAGCUGAAGGCGAGAAAAGCUUUGCGUAUAGAAACAGAUGCCCGUACCGCAAACCGACACAGGUGGACAGGAAGAGAAUUCUAAGGCCAGCGGGAGAAGGGUAGUUAAGGAACUCGGCAAAUUGACUCCGUAACUUCGGAAUAAGGAGUGCUCGAAAGAGCCGCAGAGAAUAGGCCCAGGCGACUGUUUAGCAAAAACACAGGUCUCUGCCAAAUCGAAAGAUGAAGUAUAGGGGCUGACACCUGCCCGGUGCCGGAAGGUUAAGAGGAGGAGUGAGAGCUCCGAAUUGAAGCCCCGGUAAACGGCGGCCGUAACUAUAACGGUCCUAAGGUAGCGAAAUUCCUUGUCGGGUAAGUUCCGACCCGCACGAAUGGUGUAACGAUCUGGGCACUGUCUCAACUACCCACCCGGCGAAAUUGUAGUACCGGUGAAGAUGCCGGUUACCUGCGGCAAGACGGAAAGACCCCAUGGAGCUUUACUGUAGCCUGAUAUUGGGUUUCGGAAAUCUAUGUACAGGAUAGGCGGGAGACUGGGAAACAUGAGCGUCAGCUUGUGUGGAGUCGAUGUUGGGAUACCGCCCUUAGGUUUCUGGAAUUCUAACCUGCGGCCGUGAAUCCGGUCGGGGGACAUUGUCAGGUGGGCAGUUUGACUGGGGCGGUCGCCUCCGAAAAGGUAACGGAGGCGCUCAAAGGUUAGCUCAGCACGGACGGAAACCGUGCCUCUGAGUGUAAACGCAAAAGCUAGCCUAACUGCGAGGGUGACGGCCCGAGCAGUAACGAAAGUUGGAGUUAGUGAUCCGGCGGUAUGUGAAUGGAAAUGCC